rnacentral:rRNA from 1 species
UACGUAGGUGGCAAGCGUUGUCCGGAUUUACUGGGCGUAAAGAGCGCGCAGGCGGUCGGAUAAGUCGAAUGUGAAAGCCCCCGGCUCAACUGGGGAGGGUCAUUCGAUACUGUUCGACUCGAAGGCAGGAGAGGGAAGUGGAAUUCCCGGUGUAGUGGUGAAAUGCGUAGAUAUCGGGAGGAACACCAGUGGCGGAGGCGACUUCCUGGCCUGUUCUUGACGCUGAGGCGCGAAAGCUAGGGGAGCAAACGGG